UAGGGAAUCUUCGGCAAUGGGGGGAACCCUGACCGAGCAACGCCGCGUGAGUGAAGAAGGUUUUCGGAUCGUAAAGCUCUGUUGUUAAGGAAGAACGAGUGUGAGAAUGGAAAGUUCAUGCUGUGACGGUACUUAACCAGAAAGGGACGGCUAACUACGUGCCAGCAGCCGCGGUAAUACGUAGGUCCCGAGCGUUGUCCGGAUUUAUUGGGCGUAAAGCGAGCGCAGGCGGUUAGAAAAGUCUGAAGUGAAAGGCAGUGGCUCAACCAUUGUAGGCUUUGGAAACUGUUUAACUUGAGUGCGGAAGGGGAGAGUGGAAUUCAAUGUGUAGCGGUGAAAUGCGUAGAUAUAUGGAGGAACACCGGUGGCGAAAGCGGGUCUCUGGUCUGUAACUGACGCUGAGGCUCGAAAGCGUGGGGAGCGAACAGG
rnacentral:rRNA from 1 species